rfam:Mustela putorius furo unplaced genomic scaffold scaffold00123, whole genome shotgun sequence.
ACCUGGCUGGCUCAGUUGGUGGAACAUGUGACUCUUGAUCUCAGGGUUAUGUGUUCAAGCCCCAUGUUGGGUG